rnacentral:lncRNA from 10 species
UGGCUGUGGUAUGGAUUGCGUGUCUAUUUUAUUUAUUUUGUUUUGAGACAGAGUCUCACUCUGUCGUCCAGGCUGGAGUGCAAAAGCAUGAUCUUGGCUCAUUGCAACCUCCACCUCCCAGGUUCAAGCGAUUCUCCUGCCUCAGCUGGGAUUGCAAGCCUGUGCCAAGCCCGGCUAAUUUUUGUAUUUUUGGUAGAGACUGGGGUUUCACUACAUUGGCCAGGCUGAUCUCGAACUCCUGACCUCAGGUGAUCCACCCGCACUGGCCUCCCAAAGUGCUGGGAUUACAGGCGUGAGCCACUGUGCCUGGCCAGGUUGUGUGUUUUCUCUGUUGGAGGCCCGCCCGGCAUGCGCAGGACCCUCUUUAAGGCCUUCCACCUCUGCUCCUACAUCUUCCACCGGGUUUGUUACAAAUAGUCCCAGAUCUAUUGUACAUCUUCUCAUACUUUUUGCUAUUGAAACUUCUUACAAAGUUUUCUCACCUGCCAGAGGGCAGAGAAACAAAUUGUCAUGAAUGUUCUAGGACCUAGAACAGAGCUUGAGGCAGGGAAAGUAUUCACAAUGUUGUUGGCUGCAGUCAGGAAUAAUAAAUCAAUGUUGAGUGGAUAAACUAAUGAAUAGUUUUGUUUGGUUUUAUGCCAAAAAAUAGUAAUCUCCUGGGUAGCCGGGUACAGUGGCUCAUACCUGUAAUCUCAAUGCUUUGGGAGGCCGAGGUGGGCGGGCCACCUGAGGUCAGGAGUUCGAGACCAGGCUGGCCAACAUGGUGAAACCCUGUCUCUAC